UAUAUGAGCGAGCACGGCUAACGUUAGAGAAACAGCAGCAGCAGGAUGGCGAGCAAGGACACAACACAGAGUUCCCCACAUCCAACACGAACAAAAUCAUCAUGUGUUGGACUUCUGCGCUUUUUAUUUAUUGCAUUUAUUCACGUGGCACAGGCGAACAAACAAGCUUUCAUACAGUCAGACAACAUCCUGGAGGUACUACACUUUGGGGAAGGAGGCCUCUUGCAGACAGAGUCUGAUAUUGAUCUUAGCUCAUAUCGUCAAAAAAG